rnacentral:rRNA from 1 species
GCACUCCUGGGGCGUCUCUAUCUCAUCGCGAGAGGAGGCGCACCUAGAGCGUACACGCUGAUACCCGAAAGAUGGUGAACUAUGCCUGGCCAGGACGAAGCCAGGGGAAACCCUGGUGGAGGUCCGCAGCGAUUCUGACGUGCAAAUCGAUCGUCGGAGCUGGGUUUAGGGGCGAAAGACCAAUCGAACCAUCUAGUAGCUGGUUCCCUCUGAAGUUUCCCUCAGGAUAGCUUGCGCUCGGAAACAACGAGUCUCAUCCGGUAGAGCGAAUGAUUAGAGGCCUUGGGGUCGAAACGACCUCAACCUAUUCUCAAACUCCAAAUAGAUGAGAACCCCGGCUUUCUUGAACUUUGUUUAUGAAGCCGGGGGCUCGGAUCAGAGUGCCAAGUGGGCCAAUUUUGGUAAGCAGAACUGGCGCUGUGGGAUGAACCAAACGCGGAGUUAAGGCGCCUCAAUCGACGCUCAUGUGAAACCAUGAAAGGCGUUGGUUGCUUAAGACAGCAG